rnacentral:antisense_RNA from 1 species
GUAGGCGUAAAGCGUUCGCUGACAAAGCGCCGAGCGCACGCAGUCGUCUUUAUCAAAACGCACUAUACCUAUCAUCUCAUCUUCACUAAAACGGGCUAAGGCAUCGCUUAAACCUGACUGUACGUGUGCGGGCAAAUCGCACUGGGUGAUGUCGCCAUUGACAAUGACCGUCACGUUUUCUCCCAAUCGCG